rnacentral:lncRNA from 1 species
GUGUUUUGGCUAUUCGCAGCGAGGCUACUUAGUUUGACUGCACAUUCUCUUAGUUUUUAGCCAUUCGGAUCUUUACUAUGGGUUGCUCCUUGAAUUGAUUUUAAUGAUUAUAAAGUAUUUGAGGAGAUUACUAAUGAUUUUGGUUUGAAAAAAGAUUUAUUAUUUUUUAGAAAUAAAAUCAUAAUUUUAUCAAGUCCUAAUUCGAAAGCC